rnacentral:rRNA from 1 species
CAUGAACAACACUUGGAUGUGAGUUAGUCGAUCCUAAACGGUGGGUUAACUCCAAAUACAUAGAUACUUGUAUCUUGUACCGUGAAAGGGAAACAGGUUAAUAUUCCUGUACUAUAUCAAGGAGGUAAAGUGGUAACACAAAUGAACUCAAAUACAUCAGUAGAAUAACCAGGAAGAGUUCUCUUUUCUUUUUAACGACUUCUCCGCAAGGGGUGGUAUGAUGACCAUGGAAUCAAUUUAGUUGGAGAAAUGGUUAAAGAGUCGGUAAAAUAAAUCAAUUUCUGAUUUAUCUGGUUAGGUUCUAAUGGUACAUAAAAAUUUAGUAGGGAAGUGAUCUUGCUUGAAUAGUCGUACUCAUAACCGCAGCAGGUCUCCAAGGUUAGAAGCCUCUAGUUGGCAGAAUAAUGUAGGUAAGGGAAGUCGGC